rnacentral:rRNA from 1 species
UACGAAGGGGGCUAGCGUUGUUCGGAAUCACUGGGCGUAAAGCGCACGUAGGCGGAUCUUUAGGUCAGAGGUGAAAUCCCAAGGCUCAACCUUGGAACUGCCUUUGAUACUGGGGAUCUUGAGUCCGGGAGAGGUGAGUGGAACUGCGAGUGUAGAGGUGAAAUUCGUAGAUAUUCGCAAGAACACCAGUGGCGAAGGCGGCUCACUGGCCCGGUACUGACGCUGAGGUGCGAAAGCGUGGGGAGCAAACAGG